AACGAACGCUGGCGGCAUGCCUAACACAUGCAAGUCGAACGAGACCUUCGGGUCUAGUGGCGCACGGGUGCGUAACGCGUGGGAACCUGCCCUUAGGUUCGGAAUAACUCCCCGAAAGGGGUGCUAAUACCGGAUAAUGUCUUCGGACCAAAGAUUUAUCGCCUUUGGAUGGGCCCGCGUUGGAUUAGCUAGUUGGUAGGGUAAAAGCCUACCAAGGCGACGAUCCAUAGCUGGUCUGAGAGGAUGAUCAGCCUCACUGGGACUGAGACACGGCCCAGACUCCUACGGGAGGCAGCAGAGGGGAAUAUUGGACAAUGGGCGAAAGCCUGAUCCAGCAAUGCCGCGUGAGUGAUGAAGGCCUUAGGGUUGUAAAGCUCUUUUACCCGGGAUGAUAAUGACAGUACCGGGAGAAUAAGCUCCGGCUAACUCCGUG
rnacentral:rRNA from 1 species